GUCCUCGUAGCUCAGCUGGAUAGAGCGACCGCCUCCUAAGCGGUAGGUCGCAGGUUCGAAUCCUGCCUUGGACACCA
rnacentral:tRNA from 1 species